rnacentral:sRNA from 1 species
GCUGGGCAUGGUGGCACAUGUCUGUAAUCCCCACAACUCAGGAGGCUAAGGCAGGUGGAUCACAAGUUCACAGCCAACUUCAGUCAUUUAGUGAGGCUGUAAGCAACUUAGACCCUGUCUCAA